rnacentral:lncRNA from 1 species
GUUUAUGCAAACAUCAAAUGUAGCAUCCCACAUGGCAGCAGCAGAAAGGCACUGGGGUAGAAGAUGAGUGAUAAUGAGGUUAUCCCGGAAUGCAGUUGGUUGGCUGGCAUGCAAAGGUGGGCCUAAAAGGUAGACAAUAGGAUGCAGUAAGUAUCUCAUCUAUAGAUCUUGACACUAAACUGUUAGUACUGAAAAUGGUGAAAAUGCAGAAAGACUGGCUUUGCAGCAAAUUGGUGUUUCUCAGCACGCUCUGUUUUGUUUUUUACGAACAUCUCCUAUUGUGAGAUACGUAGGAAAGGCCUGGAAUCUUGCUGGGUGUUGUCACCUUGAUGGAAUAAGAGUGACACUCUUUCCAUUUGUACCCACAUUUGUUGCUUUGCCUUCCCAGGCUCCUCUCUCAGAAGUGCUUAAUUCUUUGACCAUAAUUAGGGGGUGGAAGAGGUAAGGUUAAAAGAAAUAGUCUUCACUUCUGCCUCCCCAUUCUCCAGCAGAAUGAACAUGAUGGCCGAGGGAGGCUUCACCUGUACCAGUGUUUGGAAUGUCCCGUUCUGUGUCGUCCUGGAAGUUUUUACACCAUAAUUCAGUUCACAGUGUGUGAGAGGUUGGUUUCCAACUCCUGGCCUCAAGUGAUCCUCCUGCCUCAGCCUCCAAAGCGGUAUGAUUGCAGACAUGAGCCACUGUGCCCAGCUGAGGUUAUUUUCUAUGUAAAUCUUGAUGUUCUGGAAUUGGGCAAUUGUUGUCAGGAUUUUUGGCCACAAGUGAAAGAAACCCAAUUCAAACUGGCCUAAGCAGAAAAGGAAGUUUACUGCUUCAUGAAGUUGCAAAGCAUGAAGAGGUGCUGGUCCUCAAAAUGCCUCCAGGAUCCUUGUCUCUCAGGUCUGUGGGGCUUCACUCCUGGGUAGAAUCUCCCCCGCAGCAG